UCUUGGAUAUCCAUUGUGUUACAAGAAACAUGCAAUAUUGAAAGUGCCUCAAAAAAUAUGGAUCAAGAAUGGGUUUUGUUAUUUCCAUUGGUAUUAUGUGAAAAGCCAGAUACCAUAUGCAUACUGUGGAAACCGACAACGCUGCAGUAAUUUGCCAUGUAAUAACCCUUGGGCCCCAUCUAUCUGUUAUCCUGCCGGCUUCUUGUCACUGAAACUAUACAUGUUUUGUCCACACCAUAAACCGCGAUACUGGUAUCCUUACUACGUCCGUCUUCCUCAGUGUUGUGAAUGUAGGAGAUCCUUUUCUUGGUGGCUACAAGCGCCGUGGAGUCCAGCUAUUCCUUGAGAAAGAAUUAUAAUUCUAAUAAACGUGUUUAUUUCCUGUAAA